CUCAUUUUCCUUACCAUCAUCCGCCUAUUACCCCCCCAAACCCUACAGACCUAUCAUGUUCUCUCAAGUCUCAAGAAAGAGACCAAGCAGCCGCACACCCCAUCUUCGUUUCUUAAUCUCUAAUUUUUGAGAGACCAAGGUUGCUCCUUCUCGUUUCUUACAAUGCCACCGGUGAUGGCUCUCUAUCCCUUGUCCUGGCUGCCGCUUCUCCAGCCCUUUCUUCCCUUCGCCACCUGCUUUUACCACCGGUGAUGGCCGGCGACUGCAACACCACCUCUGCUCCGCCACUGCUUGUCUUCUUCGUCUCCCCUUCCCCCUUCUCCUAACUUGAUGUUAAUUUUCGUUUUUUUUCAGGUUUUAGACUCGCCGGAAAAUAAAUAGAUCUAGCCGGAAAUGUUAUUUCCCGGCAAAAUGCUGCCUUUUUGUACAUCUACCUUCUAUUUCUGUCAGAUCUAAAGGGGAACGAAAAGAUAACUAAAAAUUCGCUUCGUCGGAGUUCGUCGGAAUCUAGACGGAGAACAUUUUCUCCCAUGAUAGGUGCGUGUUUUGUUUAUUGCCGCCUUAGUCCAUGACUGUUUCAUUUUCCAUCCACUCGUCGGUUAUAUUUUGUUAUUUCAAUUUUGUUUACAUCAUUGUUUCUUACCACUGAUGUUUGGGAUUAGAAGGCCGUCGUUUGGCCUCUCGUUACUGAUAUGUGUAAAGUUUUGUGACUGUUAGCUCUGUCGUAACUUCCUUUUUCGGCGACUGUUCGUUCUUGGAUGGUACUGCUUUGGUAUUGCAUAUCCUCUUCUAUGUUGGUUGCUCUUGGACUUGAUUUCAAUAUUCUUCCAUCCUUGCCUAUGAUUUGUUUGUCAUUUUGAGGCUCCUCUGGCAGAACACUACUGGAAUUGGAUUGAAUUUGUGCCAAACAGAUUAUUGUCCAAGUAGCACUGUUGCUUCACCAGUGCUGGUUCAACAGUAAAGAUCGUUGGUUUUUGCUACACUAAAUACCGAUGAAAAAAUGUUUUACGAAUUAUUGAGGCCGCGCCCCUCGGAUGUACCCUCCAGACUGGGCCCUAAUAUAACGAGGUGAUGACGAUAACUUAUCAAAAAAAAAAAAGAAAGACAUAAACAUGGCGAACCAAUAACCUUUGGAGGGCGACACAACUAGCUAUCAAGGUACCCUAACAAUGAACUCGAAGAUGAAAAGACAAAUCUCUGUCAAGCUCCCCGCUUCGCACUUUUUAUUCUAGGAUGUACCCUAAAAUAAAUACAUGCUUAGAACAAAUUCAUGAUAGCUACCCCUUUUUUAUGAAAUGACAUUCAACAUGAUUAGUUUGCAUAUAGUUGUGCACGGAUAGUUGCUUUCUUGUGGGAUUCUCUAAAAGUCCGAAAUAUUUUAUAUGUUGUACAUCCAUUAGAUUUAGUUGAGUAUAACCCAUUGUGUUUGUCUAUGAUUCUUGACUGAUUAUUUGUUGGUCAUGCAUUUGUUAUAAGAUUCAUUUAUCAUUAUUUA